AUUGAACGCUGGCGGCAUGCUUUACACAUGCAAGUCGAACGGCAGCGCGGGCUUCGGCCUGGCGGCGAGUGGCGAACGGGUGAGUAAUGCAUCGGAACGUGCCCAGUAGUGGGGGAUAGCCCGGCGAAAGCCGGAUUAAUACCGUAUACGACCUGAGGGUGAAAGCGGGGGACCGAAAGGCCUCGCGCUAUUGGAGCGGCCGAUGUCGGAUUAGCUAGUUGGUGGGGUAAAGGCUUACCAAGGCGACGAUCCGUAGCUGGUCUGAGAGGACGACCAGCCACACUGGGACUGAGACACGGCCCAGACUCCUACGGGAGGCAGCAGUGGGGAAUUUUGGACAAUGGGGGCAACCCUGAUCCAGCCAUGCCGCGUGCGGGAAGAAGGUCUUCGGGUUGUAAACCGCUUUUGUUCGGGAAGAAAUCCUCUGGGCUAAUACCCCGGGGGGAUGACGGUACCGGAAGAAUAAGCACCGGCUAACUACGUG
rnacentral:rRNA from 1 species